rnacentral:rRNA from 1 species
AGCGAACGCUGGCGGCAUGCUUAACACAUGCAAGUCGCACGGGCGGGGGCAACUCCGUCAGUGGCGGACGGGUGAGUAACGCGUAGGAAUCUAUCCUUGAAUGGGGGACAACCGUGGGAAACUACGGCUAAUACCGCAUGAUGCCUGAGGGCCAAAGACGAAAGUCGUUUGAGGAGGAGCCUGCGUCUGAUUAGGUAGUUGGUGGGGUAAAGGCCUACCAAGCCUACGAUCAGUAGCUGGUCUGAGAGGAUGAUCAGCCACAUUGGGACUGAGACACGGCCCAAACUCCUACGGGAGGCAGCAGUGGGGAAUAUUGGACAAUGGGCGAAAGCCUGAUCCAGCAAUGCCGCGUGUGUGAAGAAGGUCUUCGGAUUGUAAAGCACUUUUGGCAGGGACGAUGAUGACGGUACCUGCAGAAUAAGCCCCGGCUAACUUCGUG